rnacentral:rRNA from 1 species
AGUGGAGUUCUUCGGAAAAAGCUAGCGGCGGACGGGUCAGUAACACGUGGGCAACCUGCCUCAUAGAGGGGAAUAGCCUCCCGAAAGGGAGAUUAAUACCGCAUAAGAUUGUAGCUUCGCAUGAAGUAGCAAUUAAAGGAGCAAUCCGCUAUGAGAUGGGCCCGCGGCGCAUUAGCUAGUUGGUGAGGUAACGGCUCACCAAGGCGACGAUGCGUAGCCGACCUGAGAGGGUGAUCGGCCACAUUGGGACUGAGACACGGCCCAGACUCCUACGGGAGGCAGCAGUGGGGAAUAUUGCACAAUGGGGGAAACCCUGAUGCAGCAACGCCGCGUGAGUGAUGACGGCCUUCGGGUUGUAAAGCUCUGUCUUCAGGGACGAUAAUGACGGUACCUGAGGAGGAAGCCACGGCUAACUACGUGCCAGCAGCCGCGGUAAUACGUAGGUGGCGAGCGUUGUCCGGAUUUACUGGGCGUAAAGGGAGCGUAGGCGGACUUUUAAGUGAGAUGUGAAAUACCCGGGCUCAACUUGGGUGCUGCAUUUCAAACUGGAAGUCUAGAGUGCAGGAGAGGAGAAUGGAAUUCCUAGCGUAGCGGUGAAAUGCGUAGAGAUUAGGAAGAACACCAGUGGCGAAGGCGAUUCUCUGGACUGUAACUGACGCUGAGGCUCGAAAGCGUGGGGAGCAAACAGGAUUAGAUACCC